rnacentral:lncRNA from 1 species
ACCACAUAUAAUAUUUCUAUGAAGAAGGGUAGCUAUGUACUUGUCUGUUUUGACAUCUUAUGGUGGCCUGGUUAUUUUAAUUUUUUGUAGGAAUGUCAUUGAGAAAAGUUUAUUGAGUGUAUUUUUGUGUAUGUGUUUGCAUGUGUGUGAUAGGAAGUGACAUUAUAGUGCUGAAUUCUAUAGAUGUAUGAAGAAAACUUUUGAAGGAAAGUUUUCAAGUAAAGUUCGUUGGAAAAUUGAACAAAUUUUACUUAUUCUGGCAAUACAGCUAGGCUAGGACUGAUCGUAUAUGGAAGUCCAAAAUCAACUUAAAUCUCCUUUACAUCAUGCGUUCGAUUAGAUAUUCUCUGCUUGACUUUGUCUUAUCCAGUAUUGCAACCUUGACAGCUAGUAAUUGGCUUUCCUUGUAGUCAGACCCUGUUUUCAAAGGAUAAGAGAUACCGUGAGAGAUGGAUAAUCAAAGAUCCAAAAUCUUGUAAGGAAUAUAAUGGAGAUGAAAAAUAGGUACUGAACUAUUUUUCGACCAAGG